rnacentral:lncRNA from 1 species
GCGACAGCGUCGCUGAGCACUAACUUCUAUUCCACGGAGGCAGACAGCGAAAACCAUUUCAGAACCACGGCAAGGCAUGAGAGAAGCACAGGCAUGGUGCAGAGGGCAGAAAGAAGACAAAGAACGAAGAUAAAAGAAGCCUUUUUCCUCAAGAAGAUUGUAAUCUAGUGGUGGAGCUGGAAAAUAAAGGAAAGCAGUGGCCAUGUAUGUCAUGAGGACAUUCCAGUAACCCUAUGUGGUAAGGAACCGAGUCAGCCUGCCAACAAAAACUGCCACUGAAAAACUGAGCCCUCCUGCUGACAGCCAUGUGAGAGGAACACCUGGGAAGUGGAUCCUCCAGGCCUGGUCAUACUUCAGAUGACUGCAGCCCAAGCCAACAUCUUGCUUGAGUGGAGCCUCAUGAGUGACUCAGUCAAAACCACACAGCUGAGAUAUUUCCAACCCACAGAUACUGAGAUAAUAAAUGUUUAUUGCUACUAGGUUUCCUUCCUUCCUUCCUUCCUUCCUUUCUUUUCUCUUCUCCUUCCUUCCUUCCUUUCUUUUCUCUUCUCCUUCCUUCCUUCCUUUCUUUUCUCUUCUCCUUCCUUCCUUCCUCCCUCCCUCUCCUCCUCCUCCUUCAUCUUCUUCCUCUUCUUCCUCUUCCCCUUCCCCUUCCUCUUCCUCCUUCUUUCUUUCUUACUUUCUUUCUCUUUCUUUCUUUCUUUCUCUAUGAAAAUAUCAGGUGUACUAUAUUUUACCUGCCUUCAUGUAUACUUGAAUAAUUCCAUAAUAAAACUUUUUA